GACGGAGGAUGCAAGCGCUAUCCGGAAUUAUUGGGCGUAAAGCGUCCGCAGGUGGCUGUUCAAGUCUGCUGUCAAAGCGCAGAGCUUAACUCUGUACAGGCGGUGGAAACUGAAGAGCUAGAGUAUGGUAGGGGUAGAGGGAAUUCCCGGUGUAGCGGUGAAAUGCGUAGAUAUCGGGAAGAACACCAGUGGCGAAAGCGCUCUACUGGGCCAUAACUGACACUGAGGGACGAAAGCUAGGGGAGCGAAAGGG
rnacentral:rRNA from 1 species